rnacentral:rRNA from 1 species
AACGAACGCUGGCGGCAGGCUUAACACAUGCAAGUCGAACGCACCGCAAGGUGAGUGGCAGACGGGUGAGUAACGCGUGGGAACGUGCCCUUCAGUUCGGAAUAACCCAGGGAAACUUGGGCUAAUACCGGAUACGUGCGAGAGCAGAAAGAUUUAUCGCUGAAGGAUCGGCCCGCGUCUGAUUAGCUAGUUGGUGGGGUAAUGGCCCACCAAGGCGACGAUCAGUAGCNGGUCUGAGAGGAUGAUCAGCCACAUUGGGACUGAGACACGG